rnacentral:rRNA from 1 species
CCUACGGGAGGCAGCAGUGGGGAAUAUUGGACAAUGGGGGCAACCCUGAUCCAGCCAUGCCGCGUGUGUGAAGAAGGCCCUCGGGUUGUAAAGCACUUUCAGUGGGGAAGAACGCCUGGUGGUUAAUACCCAUCAGGAAAGACAUCACUCACAGAAGAAGCACCGGCUAACUCCGUGCCAGCAGCCGCGGUAAUACGGAGGGUGCGAGCGUUAAUCGGAAUUACUGGGCGUAAAGCGCGCGUAGGUGGCUUGAUAAGCCGGUUGUGAAAGCCCCGGGCUCAACCUGGGAACGGCAUCCGGAACUGUCAAGCUAGAGUGCAGGAGAGGAAGGUAGAAUUCCCGGUGUAGCGGUGAAAUGCGUAGAGAUCGGGAGGAAUACCAGUGGCGAAGGCGGCCUUCUGGACUGACACUGACACUGAGGUGCGAAAGCGUGGGUAGCAAACAGGAUUAGAUACCCCUGUAGUC